UGCAAGUCGAGCGAACAGAUAAGGAGCUUGCUCCUUUGACGUUAGCGGCGGACGGGUGAGUAACACGUGGAUAACCUACCUAUAAGACUGGGAUAACUUCGGGAAACCGGAGCUAAUACCGGAUAACAUAUUGAACCGCAUGGUUCAAUAGUGAAAGGCGGCUUUGCUGUCACUUAUAGAUGGAUCCGCGCCGUAUUAGCUAGUUGGUAAGGUAACGGCUUACCAAGGCAACGAUACGUAGCCGACCUGAGAGGGUGAUCGGCCACACUGGAACUGAGACACGGUCCAGACUCCUACGGGAGGCAGCAGUAGGGAAUCUUCCGCAAUGGGCGAAAGCCUGACGGAGCAACGCCGCGUGAGUGAUGAAGGUCUUCGGAUCGUAAAACUCUGUUAUCAGGGAAGAACAAAUGUGUAAGUAACUGUGCACAUCUUGACGGUACCUGAUCAGAAAGCCACGGCUAACUACGUGCCAGCAGCCGCGGUAAUACGUAGGUGGCAAGCGUUAUCCGGAAUUAUUGGGCGUAAAGCGCGCGUAGGCGGUUUUUUAAGUCUGAUGUGAAAGCCCACGGCUCAACCGUGGAGGGUCAUUGGAAACUGGAAAACUUGAGUGCAGAAGAGGAAAGUGGAAUUCCAUGUGUAGCGGUG
rnacentral:rRNA from 1 species